rnacentral:rRNA from 1 species
UAGGUAAUAUUAGAAAUGGACGAAAGUCUGAUCUAGCAACACCGCGUGUGCGAAGAAGGCCUUCGGGUCGUAAAGCACUUUUUGGAAGGAAUAGGAAGGAAUGUACUUCCAGAAUAAGUCUCGGCUAACUACGUGCCAGCAGCCGCGGUAACACGUAGGAGGCGAACGUUAUCCGGAUUUACUGGGCGUAAAGCGCGUGUAGGUGGUACUGUAAGUAGGGCGUGAAAGCUCCUGGCUCAACUGGGAGAGGCCGUUCUAAACUACAGAACUAGAGGAUGGUAGAGGGAGGUGGAAUUCCAGGUGUAGCGGUGGAAUGCGCAGAUAUCUGGAGGAACACCGGUGGCGAAGGCGGCCUCCUGACCAUUCCUGACACUCAGACGCGAAAGCUAGGGUAGCAAACGG